UGGAAUGAAGAACACAUAGUAGCCUCAGGU
rnacentral:piRNA from 1 species